rnacentral:rRNA from 1 species
AGCGAACGCUGGCGGCAGGCCUAACACAUGCAAGUCGAACGAAGUCUUCGGACUUAGUGGCGGACGGGUGAGUAACACGUGGGAACGUACCUUUGGUUCGGAACAACUCAGGGAAACUUGAGCUAAUACCGGAUGAGCCCUUAGGGGGAAAGAUUUAUCGCCGAAAGAGCGGCCCGCGUUAGAUUAGCUAGUUGGUGAGGUAAAGGCUCACCAAGGCUACGAUCUAUAGCUGGUCUGAGGGGAUGAUCAGCCACACUGGGACUGAGACACGGCCCAGACUCCUACGGGAGGCAGCAGUGGGGAAUCUUGCGCAAUGGGCGAAAGCCUGACGCAGCCAUGCCGCGUGAAUGAUGAAGGUCUUAGGAUUGUAAAAUUCUUUUACCAGGGGCGAUAAUGACGGUACCUGGAGAAAAAGCCCCGGCUAACUUCGUGCCAGCCGCCGCGGUAAUAC